rnacentral:rRNA from 1 species
AUUGAACGCUGGCGGCAGGCUUAACACAUGCAAGUCGAGCGGGGUGAUGGUGCUUGCACUAUCACUUAGCGGCGGACGGGUGAGUAAUGCUUAGGAAUCUGCCUAUUAGUGGGGGACAACAUCUCGAAAGGGAUGCUAAUACCGCAUACGUCCUACGGGAGAAAGCAGGGGAUCACUUGUGACCUUGCGCUAAUAGAUGAGCCUAAGUCGGAUUAGCUAGUUGGUGGGGUAAAGGCCUACCAAGGCGACGAUCUGUAGCGGGUCUGAGAGGAUGAUCCGCCACACUGGGACUGGGGAACGGCCCAGAAUCCGACGGGAGGAAGCAGUGGGGGAUAUUGGAAAAUGGGGGGAACCCUGAUCCAGCCAUGCCGCGUGUGUGAAGAAGACCUUAUGGUUGUAAAGCACUUUAAGCGAGGAGGAGGCUCUUUUGGUUAAUACCCAAGAUGAGUGGACGUUACUCGCAGAAUAAGCACCGGCUAACUCUGUGCCAGUCGCCGCCGUAA